rnacentral:rRNA from 2 species
UGAACGCUAGCGGGAUGCCUUACACAUGCAAGUCGAACGGCAGCACGGACUUCGGUCUGGUGGCGAGUGGCGAACGGGUGAGUAAUGUAUCGGAACGUGCCCAGUAGCGGGGGAUAACUACGCGAAAGCGUAGCUAAUACCGCAUACGCCCUACGGGGGAAAGCAGGGGAUCGCAAGACCUUGCACUAUUGGAGCGGCCGAUAUCGGAUUAGCUAGUUGGUGGGGUAACGGCUCACCAAGGCGACGAUCCGUAGCUGGUUUGAGAGGACGACCAGCCACACUGGGACUGAGACACGGCCCAGACUCCUACGGGAGGCAGCAGUGGGGAAUUUUGGACAAUGGGGGAAACCCUGAUCCAGCCAUCCCGCGUGUGCGAUGAAGGCCUUCGGGUUGUAAAGCACUUUUGGCAGGAAAGAAACGUCGUGGGUUAAUACC